rnacentral:rRNA from 1 species
CCUACGGGAGGCAGCAGUGGGGAAUCUUGCGCAAUGGGCGAAAGCCUGACGCAGCAACGCCGCGUGCGGGAAGAAGGCCUUCGGGUUGUAAACCGCUUUCAGCAGGAACGAAAAUGACGGUACCUGCAGAAGAAGGAGCGGCCAACUACGUGCCAGCAGCCGCGGUGACACGUAGGCUCCAAGCGUUGUCCGGAUUUAUUGGGCGUAAAGAGCUCGUAGGCGGUUCAGUAAGUCGGGUGUGAAAACUCUGGGCUCAACCCAGGGCCUGCAUUCGAAACUGCUGUGACUAGAGUUUAGUAGGGGAGCGGGGAAUUCCUAGUGUAGCGGUGAAAUGCGCAGAUAUUAGGAGGAACACCGGUGGCGAAAGCGCCGCUCUGGGCCAAUACUGACGCUGAGGAGCGAAAGCGUGGGUAGCAAACAGGAUUAGAUACCCUGGUAGUCCACGCCGUAAACGAUGGGCACUAGGUGUGGGUUUCAACUAACGAAAUCCAUGCCGUCGCUAACGCAUUAAGUGCCCCGCCUGGGGAGUACGGUCGCAAGACUAAAACUCAAAGGAAUUGACGG